rnacentral:pre_miRNA from 1 species
GAUGGUGACAGAAGAGAGUGAGCACAAAUGGUGACUUUCUUGCAUAAGGUUUCAUGCUGGGAGCUAUGUGUGCUCACUCUCUAUCCGUCACCUC